AUAAUACAAACCACAAUGAAGAAUCUAGAUUUACAUUUUUAUUGUAUAUGAAAAUCAGCCUCACUUCUUUUCCCUUAUCCCCUUAUUAUUGGUUCUAAUUUCCCUGUUCAGUAAUCCCAUAGCCUAUUUUAACUUUCUUCCCCUGCUACCUAUGGAAGGGAGAUGGGGAGCCGGCAAAGUGUGGAAUGCAGCAAAGUCAUUCUGAAUAGACAAAAAUCACAAGAAUUGUAAAAGCAAAGGAUGUGACAGCCUCAGAAUCCUGACCUUUCGAACUUGAAACCAGAUGUAUGACUCAGCUCCCCAAUACACAUGAAUUCUUUUGUAUUAUGGGUAAAAUGGCAAACAUUUCCUGUUAUUAAAAGAUAUUUGGAUUACCUUCCCAAGAGUAAUGCAAAGCUUCUGAAAAGAUAACUGCACAGUGACAAUAAGAAGAUUGUUAAGAGUGCCUCUAAGCUAGGGAGCAAAGAGUAUUAUAUUUCCACUGAGAAGAACACUUAAAUUAUAGACAAAGAUCCAUCAAGGCUUAAGUCGCCCAGAAUCACAUUAACCUCUUUAGUUAGUGGCAUAUGCUUCAGGACACAUGACAAUCACGGGGCUGGCUUGCUGUGGGAGAGGAAGCGAAACAAAUCUCUUUUCCAAGGCAACAGAGCUUAGUUUCAUUAAGGUCACUGAGGGAAGAGCUUCUGCCUUUUCUCAAGAAUUCACUAUUUAUCAAGAUGACCUGAACUGAAAGGCUCGUCAUGAUGAGGUCGACAGAGCCAGACCCCAGGGCGAGACUUGUGUUCUAGUCCUGCUGCCAAGAGCUCCAUGACUAAGAAAAUGGCUUCGCCUCUUAGAAAACAAGAUGAGGGCUGACAAGACCUGCCUACAUCUCUCCCAGCACAUGUUCUCAGAUUUUUAGAGGCUGUCAGACCUGACAAUUUCCAGAAUAAAAGCAUUAAAAAGCA